UACGGAGGAUCCGAGCGUUAUCCGGAUUUAUUGGGUUUAAAGGGUGCGCAGGCGGGAAAUUAAGUCGGCGGUGAAAUUUUGCGGCUCAACCGUAAAAGUGCCUUCGAAACUGGUUUCCUUGAGUGUAGAUGAAGUAGGCGGAAUUUGUGGUGUAGCGGUGAAAUGCAUAGAUAUCACGAGGAACUCCGAUUGCGAAGGCAGCUUACUAAGCUACUACUGACGCUCAGGCACGAAGGCGUGGGGAUCAAACAGGAUUAGAUAUCCGGGUAGUCCCUGA
rnacentral:rRNA from 1 species